AAAAAACCCAUGGCUUUUUAACCAAAGUAUGUUUUUCUCCGAGGCAGGGCCUACUACACAAAGAAAAGGAGAAAAAACAUUAUGAAAUAUGUACUUAUUAAACAGUAAGAAUUUUGCAUCCUACUACAAAAGUAGAAGGAAAAGUCAAAUACAUGCAGUCUGACUUCAUAGAUUUGACUUAUUUAAGUAACUUCCUUAGUGUUGUCAUUUGCAAAGGUUUUGCAAAUACUUCCCUAAUCCUGAACAGAGAAUAUGGUUUGAUUUUAAUUCCAGCUGAAAAUGAUAAAUUGAAGUCCAGCUAUAGAAAUUUUUGAAGGAACUACUACAGAACUAUUUCUAAUUUUCAGCUUUUUGAACAUGAAAAUGAAUCAGAAUCUAUUUCCUGGCCUGCACACUAAUCUCAGAAUUUGGAACACAGAAGCAAUCAAGGUUCUGUCCACAGCGAUCUUGAUGAGCAGAGUCUCAAGAUACAGAGUGAGCACAACCGAUGUAGUACACUACUCUCCUUAUCUUUUGAGUGGUCUGGAUAUCAGUGGCAUAUUAGACAACCCGGUUCCUGAGCUUUCAGGUGAGGCACGUUUACUUGGCACGGACAAGAAAACAAACUCAUCACACAGGAAGUAACAGAAG